GACGAACGCUGGCGGCGUGCUUAACACAUGCAAGUCGAACGAAGUGGCGAACGGGUGAGUAACGCGUAAUCAACCUGCCCUUCAGGGGGGGAUAACAGUUGGAAACGACUGCUAAUACGGCAUACUGCAGGAGGGGAUUGCGUCGGAUUCGGUGGUUGGAGGGGUAACGGCCCACAAAGGCGAUGAUCAGUAGCCGGUCUGAGAGUGUGAACGGCCACAUUUGGACUGGGACACGGCCCAGACUACUACGGGAGGCAUCAGUGGGGGAUCUUCCGCAAUGGACGAAAGUCUGACGGAGCAACGCCGCGUGAGUGAUGACGGCCUUCGGGUUGUAAAGCUCUGUUAAUCGGGACGCGGUACCGGAAUAGAAAGCCACGGCUAACUACGUGCCAGCCGCCGCGGUAAUAC
rnacentral:rRNA from 1 species